rnacentral:rRNA from 1 species
UUCCAGACUCCUACGGGAGGCAGCAGUGGGGAAUAUUGCACAAUGGGCGCAAGCCUGAUGCAGCCAUGCCGCGUGUAUGAAGAAGGUCUUCGGGUUGUAAAGUACUUUCAGUCGGGAGGAAGGUGUCAAGGUUAAUAACCUUGGCAAUUGACGUUACCGACAGAAGAAGCACCGGCUAACUCCGUGCCAGCAGCCGCGGUAAUACGGAGGGUGCAAGCGUUAAUCGGAAUUACUGGGCGUAAAGCGCACGCAGGCGGUUGAUUGAGUCAGGUGUGAAAUCCGCGGGCUUAACCCGGGAAUUGCUUCUGAUACUGGUCAGCUAGAGUCCUGGAGAGGGAGGUAGAAUUCCUUGUGUAGCGGUGAAAUGCGUAGAGAUGUGGAGGAAUACCGGUGGCGAAGGCGGCCCCCUGGACAGAAACUGACGCUCAGGUGCGAAAGCGUGGGGAGCAAACAGGAUUAGAUACCCUAGUA